AGACUAGAGUGAUGUAGGGGAGACUGGAAUUCCUGGUGUAGCGGUGAAAUGCGCAGAUAUCAGGAGGAACACCGAUGGCGAAGGCAGGUCUCUGGGCAUUUACUGACGCUGAGGAGCGAAAGCAUGGGGAGGCGAACAGGAUUAGAUACCCUGGUAGUCCAUGCCGUAAACGUUGGGCACUAGGUGUGGGGGACAUUCCACGUUUUCCGCGCCGUAGCUAACGCAUUAAGUGCCCCGCCUGGGGAGUACGGCCGCAAGGCUAAAACUCAAAGGAAUUGACGGGGGCCCGCACAAGCGGCGGAGCAUGCGGAUUAAUUCGAUGCAACGCGAAGAACCUUACCAAGGCUUGACAUGUGCCAGACCGCCUCAGAGAUGGGGUUUCCCUUCGGGGCUGGUUCACAGGUGGUGCAUGGUUGUCGUCAGCUCGUGUCGUGAGAUGUUGGGUUAAGUCCCGCAACGAGCGCAACCCUCGUUCCAUGUUGCCAGCACGUAAAGGUGGGGACUCAUGGGAGACUGCCGGGGUCAACUCGGAGGAAGGUGGGGAUGACGUCAAAUCAUCAUGCCCCUUAUGUCUUGGGCUUCACGCAUGCUACAAUGGCCGGUACAAUGGGUUGCGAUACUGUGAGGUGGAGCUAAUCCCUAAAAGCCGGUCUCAGUUCGGAUUGGGGUCUGCAACUCGACCCCAUGAAGUCGGAGUCGCUAGUAAUCGCAGAUCAGCAACGCUGCGGUGAAUACGUUCCCGGGCCUUGUACACACCGCCCGUCAAGUCA
rnacentral:rRNA from 1 species